UUUGAAACACAAGUUCACGUACGAUCCCCAAAGUCAAGCAAUAUCGAGCCUGGUCAGUACUUAAAUGGGUGAGUGAUUGGGAAUCGCAGGUGGU